rnacentral:rRNA from 1 species
CCUACGGGGGGCAACAGUGAGGAAUAUUGGUCAAUGGACGAGAGUCUGAACCAGCCAAGUAGCGUGAAGGAUGACUGCCCUAUGGGCUGUAAACUUCUUUUAUAAGGGAAUAAAACGAGGCACGUGUGCCUUUUUGCAUGUACUUUAUGAAUAAGGAUCGGCUAACUCCGUGCCAGCAGCCGCGGUAAUACGGAGGAUCCGAGCGUUAUCCGGAUUUCAUGGGUGUAAGGGGAGCGUAGAUGGGUUGUUAAGUCAGUUGUGAAAGUUUGCGGCUCAACCGUAAAAUUGCAAUUGAUACUGGCAGGCUUGAGUACAGGUGAGGUAGGCGGAAUUCGUGGUGUAGCGGUGAAAUGCUUAGAUAUCACGAAGAACCCCGAUGGCGAAGGCAGCUUACUAAACUGUGACUGACAUUGAUGCUCGAAAGUGUGGGUAUCAAACAGGAUUAGAUACCCCUGUAGUC